UACGAGGGGUGCGAGCGUUAUUCGGAAUCAUUGGGCGUAAAGGGUGCGUAGGAGGGCAGGUAAGUCAGUGGUGAAAUCUCCAAGCUUAACUUGGAAACUGCCGUUGAUACUAUCUGUCUUGAAUACCGUGGAGGUGAGCGGAAUAUGUCAUGUAGCGGUGAAAUGCUUAGAUAUGACAUAGAACACCAAUUGCGAAGGCAGCUCGCUACACGAAUAUUGACUCUGAGGCACGAAAGCGUGGGGAUCAAACAGG
rnacentral:rRNA from 1 species